rnacentral:rRNA from 1 species
CGGACCGGCGCACGGGUGAGUAACGCGUAUCCAACCUGCCCACCCACUUGGGGAUAACCUUGCGAAAGUAAGACUAAUACCCAAUGAUAUCUCUAGAAGACAUCUGAAAGAGAUUAAAGAUUUAUCGGUGAUGGAUGGGGAUGCGUCUGAUUAGCUUGUUGGCGGGGUAACGGCCCACCAAGGCGACGAUCAGUAGGGGUUCUGAGAGGAAGGUCCCCCACAUUGGAACUGAGACACGGUCCAA